ACAGCUAUUCCCUGAAAUGUGCUCAGUGAUUCACAGAGCUCACAGUGGCUGUGCAAUGGGGAUUAUUGGCCUGAAGAUGACUUUCUCCCCUCCCUUCAGCCUCUGUCAUCAAAUUGGAAAAUUACCUUGGGAGGCAUCUUUUAUUUUCUCUUCUCUGGAAGUAUUAUUUCAGUUGUACCCCUGAUGCCGAAGGCCUAUACUUCCCUAGAGGGGAGUUGUGCCUCCUGGAACUGGCUGAUCAUAUCACAGAAAUCCAGGAAACCCCCAGUGUCUGACACACUCCUUCCAAUUCUCUCUGUAUCUGUAGAUGGGAAGAAACCCGCUUUGGACUGGAAUGUCAUGUAUUGCUUUCUUUUCACUACACACAGCUAGCACAGAAUAAGGCUCUUGGCUCUGUAGGCCUACAAACUAACCUUGGCAUAAUGAAUGACCUGCAGCUUCGAAAUGCCUCUGGAAUGCCAAAUGACCACAGCCCCAUGCCUCUGGAAUGUGGAAUGGCCCCAGCAUUAGCCAGGUGACCCAGGGCUGCACACUGCUAGAAUGAGAAAGAGAUUGAAGCUCCUAGAAUACCAAGUACCCGCUUAAGGAAAAAGAAGUGGCUAAGCCCCCCUGCUGCGGAAGAAAAAGUGGGAGUGAUUGACUUUGCUACCAUGAGAUAACUGUCUGUUAAUACUAAUAACACCUGAGUCUGAGUCAGUGCAACUUCGUUGAACUGCCUGCUGAAAAAUUUCUGACCCUCCCGAAAUCAGAGAAGCUGAUUUCUUCCUCUCCUUGGUAGAAACGUGCUCCCCUCAUUCUGUGCUUCCUACACUCUACCUAAAAGAAUUAGAAGACUUGUUUCCAAAGUUCGUUUUCCCAGUUCAUUAAUUUGGACUUAGAAAGCUUUGUAAUCCCCUAAGACAGCAUCGGCAUCUACAAAGUCCUACUUGGAGAACGCAAUUCCCCAGUGAGGGCACCUGAACCCUUCGUGGAAGUUCCCUGCAAAGGAGAAAAGAUGUAAGGAUAUUAGCAUCAAUCAU
rnacentral:lncRNA from 1 species